rnacentral:rRNA from 2 species
UACGAAGGGGGCUAGCGUUGCUCGGAAUCACUGGGCGUAAAGGGCGCGUAGGCGGCCUUGUAAGUUGGGGGUGAAAGCCCGUGGCUCAACCACGGAAUUGCCUUCGAUACUGCUUGGCUUGAGUGUGGUAGAGGUUGGUGGAACUGCGAGUGUAGAGGUGAAAUUCGUAGAUAUUCGCAAGAACACCGGUGGCGAAGGCGGCCAACUGGACCAUCACUGACGCUGAGGCGCGAAAGCGUGGGGAGCAAAC